UACGAAGGGGGCUAGCGUUGUUCGGAUUUACUGGGCGUAAAGCGCACGUAGGCGGAUUGUUAAGUCAGGGGUGAAAUCCCGGAGCUCAACUCCGGAACUGCCUUUGAUACUGGCAAUCUUGAGGCUGGAAGAGGUUAGUGGAAUUCCCAGUGUAGAGGUGAAAUUCGUAGAUAUUGGGAAGAACACCAGUGGCGAAGGCGGCUAACUGGUCCAGAUCUGACGCUGAGGUGCGAAAGCGUGGGAGCAACAGG
rnacentral:rRNA from 1 species